rnacentral:rRNA from 1 species
GGGUGCGAUCAUACCAGCAUUAAUGCACUGGAUCCUAUCAGAAUUCUGCAGUUAAUCGUGUUUGGGUGAGAGUAGUACUAUAAUGGGUGACCUUCCGGAAAGUUCUCGUGUUGCACCCC